AGGGGGGGUGUGGAAGCGCUGUGAGGCGUUGAGCUAACCAAUACUAAUUGCCCGUGAGGCUUGACCAUAUAACACCC
rnacentral:rRNA from 1 species